GAGAGUAAGGAAGAGGAGAGAAGGAGAAGAAGAGAGAAAGAGAGGGAGUUGGGUUUGGGGGCUGUCGAGUCGACCCGGCUGAAACCAAGUCCGGCCGAGUCAAGUUGGGCUUAGGGCUAGUCUAGGCCUUGUUGGACAUUCCAGCAUGGGAUGAGAGAGAGGAAGGAUGGGUGGUUGUUGCACGUGUCGAGUUGACUCAGGUGAGUUAUCAGGCUGAUUUUGAGUUACGUCAAUAGACCGCACCUCAUGUUUCUCAGUCACAUUGGAUUCAUCCUAGUGGAGGUGAUUCGAGUUAAACUCAUUUCAAUCAAAUUUAGAGUUGAUGCAGGUGUAGAGUGAGCUGAUGUUGUUCAUUGGAUCGCUAGUGCAAAUCGGGUAGCUGAGGAGCUAGGCGGGGUCCCUGCAGCCCAUAUUGAGCUCCACCAUUAGAUGAUAGAUUCAUGUUUACGUUUAAUUAACUUGUUAUUUGGGAUUGUAUAAGUCCUGUAUGGGCACAAUAUUUGAAAUUUUGUGAU